rnacentral:rRNA from 1 species
UACGUAGGGUGCAAGCGUUGUCCGGAAUUAUUGGGCGUAAAGGGCUCGUAGGCGGUCCAUCGCGUCGGGAGUGAAAAGCUGGGGCUCAACCCCAGUCCUGCUUUCGAUACGGGUGGACUAGAGGUAGGCAGGGGGGAACGGAAUUCCUGGUGUAGCGGUGAAAUGCGCAGAUAUCAGGAGGAACACCGGUGGCGAAGGCGGUUCUCUGGGCCUUACCUGACGCUGAGGAGCGAAAGCGUGGGGAGCGAACAGG